UACAGAGGGUGCAAGCGUUAAUCGGAAUUACUGGGCGUAAAGCGCGCGUAGACGGUUGCGUAAGUCAGAUGUGAAAGCCCCGGGCUCAACCUGGGAAUUGCAUUUGAGACUGCGUAGCUAGGGUGCGGAAGAGGGAAGCGGAAUUUCCGGUGUAGCGGUGAAAUGCGUAGAUAUCGGAAGGAACACCAGUGGCGAAAGCGGCUUCCUGGUCCAGCACCGACGUUCAGGCACGAAAGCGUGGGGAGCAAACAGG
rnacentral:rRNA from 1 species